GGGCAACAGCGGUGACAUUAUCUAGUGUUAGUUACACCAUAUUCUACGAGAACAGGCUACUUUUUGUCGCAGGUGUGCAUUGCAAGAAGGUGACGUCAGAAGAUGCCUCAAAUAAAGACGGAGUCCGAAGGAGAAGACGCCUGGCCGCAGUCUCCGGAAUGGGUCUUCGCUACAUCCACAAGUUUCCAUGGAAUUGGCCGGAUCGCCACAGCACCUAACCUGCCCCUCCGUGUUAUGUGGACUCUCG